CCUACGGGAGGCAGCAGUGAGGAAUAUUGGUCAAUGGACGAGAGUCUGAACCAGCCAAGUAGCGUGAAGGAUGACUGCCCUAUGGGUUGUAAACUUCUUUUAUAUGGGAAUAAAAUGUUCCACGUGUGGGAUUUUGUAUGUACCAUAUGAAUAAGGAUCGGCUAACUCCGUGCCAGCAGCCGCGGUAAUACGGAGGAUCCGAGCGUUAUCCGGAUUUAUUGGGUUUAAAGGGAGCGUAGGUGGAUUGUUAAGUCAGUUGUGAAAGUUUGCGGCUCAACCGUAAAAUUGCAGUUGAAACUGGCAGUCUUGAGUACAGUAGAGGUGGGCGGAAUGCGUGGUGUAGCGGUGAAAGGCUUAGAUAUCACGAAGAACUCCGAUUGCGAAGGCAGCUCACUGGACUGCAACUGACACUGAGGCUCGAAAGUGUGGGUAUCAAACAGGAUUAGAUACCCCAGUAGUC
rnacentral:rRNA from 1 species